AGAGUUUGAUCCUGGCUCAGGACAAACGCUGGCGGAAUGUAUUAGGCAUGCAAGUCGAACGGAACCUUCGGGUUUAGUGGCGGACGGGUGAGUAACGCGUGAGAAUCUGCCUCUAGGUCGGGGACAACAAUUGGAAACGAUUGCUAAUACCCGAUGUGCAGCAAUGUGAAAGAUUUAUUGCCUAGAGAUGAGCUCGCGUCUGAUUAGCUAGUAGGUGUGGUAAUGGCGCACCUAGGCGACGAUCAGUAACUGGUCUGAGAGGAUGACCAGUCACACUGGGACUGAGACACGGCCCAGACUCCUACGGGAGGCAGCAGUGGGGAAUUUUCCGCAAUGGGCGAAAGCCUGACGGAGCAAUACCGCGUGAGGGACGAAGGCUUUUGGGUCGUAAACCUCUUUUCCCUGAGAAGAAGAUCUGACGGUAUCAGGGGAAUCAGCAUCGGCUAACUUCGUGCCAGCAGCCGCGGUAAUACGAGGGAUGCAAGCGUUAUCCGGAAUUAUUGGGCGUAAAGCGUCCGCAGGUGGCUCUGUAAGUCUGUCGUUAAAGAAUGGGGCUCAACCCCAUACAGGCGAUGGAAACUACAAGGCUAGAGUUUGGUAGGGGUCACGGGAAUUCCUAGUGUAGCGGUGAAAUGCGUAGAUAUUAGGAAGAACACCAGCGGCGAAAGCGCGUGACUGGGCCAGUACUGACACUCAUGGACGAAAGCUAGGGGAGCGAAAGGGAU
rnacentral:rRNA from 1 species